GACGAACGCUGGCGGCGUGCUUAACACAUGCAAGUGGAGCGACGAACCAGGGCUUGCCCUGGGGCAAAGCCGCGAACGGGUGAGUAACACGUGGGUAACCUGCCCCGAAGACCGGGACAACCCGAGGAAACUCGGGCUAAUACCGGAUGUGGUCACUCUUCAUAAGGAGAGUGAGCAAAGGAAGCUUCGGCCUCCGCUUCGGGAUGGGCCCGCGGCCCAUUAGCUUGUUGGUGAGGUAACGGCUCACCAAGGCUUCGAUGGGUAGCUGGUCUGAGAGGACGAUCCGCCACAAUGGGACUGAGACGCGGCCCAGACUCCUACGGGAGGCAGCAGUGGGGAAUCUUGCGCAAUGGGCGACAGCCUGACGCAGCAACGCCGCGUGAGGGAAGAAGGCUUUCGGGUCGUAAACCUCUUUCAGGAGGGACGAAGCUUCGGGAGUGAAUAGCUUUCCGGAGUGACGGUACUUCCACAAGAAGCCCCGGCUAACUACGUGCCAGCCGCCGCAGUAA
rnacentral:rRNA from 1 species